rnacentral:rRNA from 1 species
GACGAACGCUGGCGGCGUGCUUAACACAUGCAAGUCGAACGAAGUGGCGAACGGGUGAGUAACGCGUAAUCAACCUGCCCUUCAGAGGGGGACAACAGUUGGAAACGACUGCUAAUACCGCAUACUGAAGGAGGGGAUUGCGUCUGAUUAGCUAGUUGGAGGGGUAACGGCCCACCAAGGCGAAGAUCAGUAGCCGGUCAGAGAAGGUGAACAGACAAAAUGGGACUGAGAAACGGCCCAGACUCCUAAGGGAGGCAGCAGUGGGGAAUCUGCCGGAAUGGACGAAAGUCUGACGGAGCAACGCCGCGUGAGUGAUGACGGCCUUCGGGAUGUAAAGCUCUGUUAAUCGGGGCGCGGUACCGGAAUAGAAAGCCACGGCUAACUACGUGCCAGCAGCCGCGGUAAUAC